CCCCACUGUCAUACACCUUCACUCCAGGCCAUCUUCUCAGGUACUCUGACUUGAUGAGGUUGGAGAGGAUCUGUGUCCUUCCCCGGGCUACGCCCCGCCCACAUUAGACCAGGUUCACCUGGGUGGGAGGUGAGGGACACACUCAGAAUUCACACCCGCCCGCAAACACAGGCCUUUCCUUGAGGCUUCAAGGUUAUUACUGGAAUACUCUCUGAGGGCAGUGUUCUUUCAAAAGCCCAUUCUUUUUUUAUCUCUUCUAGAUAGUAGGAUUUGCACAUGCGUUUCCGUGGAGGUACCUGUGUGUGGCCCGGCCUCUGCCUCUGCCUCCUGUCGGCCACGCUUGUGUGAGUGCAUUUGGAAAUCAGUGGAGACCUAUCUUUCCUCGGUGACGAUGUCUAUGGUCCCUGUGGUAACAUUAGGACCUUCUUGGUACCUUGGUAAAUCCACACAGGGUCUCUAGGUGGGUGCAAUACCUGGCUUUUCAGGACAGAGCGUCUCAGCCUUUUAUCCUGGUAUGAAUAGAGUCAGAAAAUGGCCACCGUGUGCAUAUCUGAGCAGAGACCAAGACUGUGAUCCAACUAAGCAGUUUUCUUUACUGAUGUCCUGAAGCAGAGCCAUGUUGUCAACCAGAGUCGAAGUAUAUGGCAGGUCAUUCCCAGCACUGUGUCACCUCUUCAGCAGAGCUAGGCUUGUGGGCUUGUCAGGAUCCUUUCCCUCUCCCACAGCUGUCUGUCCCUUGCUGCCUGUCGGUUGUUAAAACGGCUCUGUCCCUUAGGGACAGGUUCUGCUCUGUGGACAUUUUGCCAGAGCAGUGUGUGUCCUGCCAGCAGGCCACUGUGCCCCUUGCCUGGACACAUUCAGUCAGUGCAGGAAGAACGGGCUGUCUUGGUCUACGUCUGGGUUUGUUUUCUCCUCAGCUCUUGAUACUACAGUUUCCUUUGUACCUUGAAAACCAACGAAGUUGGACAGGAUCCGUUUCUGCCAGUCUGGUCUGUAGCUGUUGGCAUUGCUGCUUUUCCCACAACACUGUACCUAGAGAGUGUGAGCUUGUCUGCCUCCUUCAGAGCGAAAGCCCGGGACUGUUCAGCAACUGUUACUGCUCAGUGUGAGCCCCAAGGACUCAAACUUCACACCAUCUGCACCCUUCGCCAUGUGCUCACAGUUCCCAGAGGUGGAUUUUUUUCCCCCCUGAGGUGAUUAUUUUGGGAGGACCAUAAAAUCAGCCCUUUGGAUAUGGGAUGCUCUUGUAACUGUGGGAGAGCACCCACGUUGUGGGCAGGCAGUAUUUAUGAGGGAGUCUUGCCAUGGCCAUUUACAAAGGCCGUGUGGCCCGUCUGUCUGUGGUAACAGAGUAGAGGAACACACUUUUUGCCCCUGAGUGCUGAGUGUUUUCUCUUUUGGAAAGAAUUAGAUCACAUAAAGGCCCUGUUAGAUGCCACUAGAGUGGGUGGCCUUUGGUUAAGGUGCUGAGACGAGAUGGCAGGCGGAAGGGAGCAGCAGGAGGGCCCAGCAAGUGCUCAUCAGCGGUCCCUUACAAAGUGACACUUAUUUUGUAGAUGUUUUGGCAAAUGUCAGUCUAUUCCCUGGGCCACCACCACCUGCCCGUCUGCAGGAAGUUUUGAACAGACUCUUCCCCAUCUUGAUUGAAAAUGUGCCUCCGUGUGUUGGUGUUAGGGACAGCGCCUGGGUCCUACGAUUCCUGUUUGGUAACUUCUGAAAGGAUUCGUGCUCCUGAGCUGUGGUCUCUGGUGCAGAGGACGAGAGAUUCGGCCUGGUGUAUUUGCGCCUUUGCUGACCAAAACAUAAUUUCUCCAGCAAUGCCGUUUGCUUUGCCGUGGCUUUGAGUGGGUGGCUUCGCAGGUCUUACGUUUACUUUCCUGCUUUGUGGAGUUUGAGGUGAGUUGGGCUUAAAUAUGAUUUAAGGUCUUUCCGUGCCUCCUACAGAUUCUCCUCUUCUUAAUGAUUUUCCCCAACACUACAAAAUGUCUUUGAAAAUUUACCACUUUGUCUGUUACACUCUUUCACCGCGGGUUAGAAGUAUUUAAAUCUCCUCAGAACAUUUUGGGGCUCCUUUCUGAAACACAGAAGUGUAGAUUUUUCUCAUUGGAGAACACAAGCUAUUGCUUUGCAGCUAUGGGGACGGGAGGGUCCGUUUUGAUGCCCCCCCCCCCCCUCUCUCCUGGUCUUGGCUCAUUUGGAAAUACCGGGCGAGAGGGCGUUUUCUGUGGAAGGGAAGUGUAAGGACCGAGGGGCCUGGUGUUGGGAUUCUGGUGUUUUCUGCCAGGCCAUCCUCCGUAUGCAGUCCAGUUAUGGUUUCCCCGACUGAGAACAGCUGCCUGUGUCCACGCUCUUUCUGAUGUGCUGACAAGCACCACCUACCACAUUUCCUCAGGCGGGUGUAAAUCUCCCGGUUCCUUGAGGGUGAGUCACACUCUGUUCUGUUCCGCUGUGCAUCAGACAUCAGCUGUUACUGUGAUGGGCAGAGAAGUGCCUCUUUCCCUACCUACGAGGGAGCCAGAGGACAGGAAGCCUAGGGCUCUCUGCAAACCUGUGUAUUGCUUACAUCUGUCCAUAGGACACAGGAAUGAGGCCAGCGGUGGGCAAACAGAGCUGCGCUGUUGGGCCGGGCGGUGGCUGACCUAAGGAAGGUGAACUUGCUUCGCUUAGGUGUUUUAGCGAUGCUCAAUACAGGCAGUAUUAAGUUUGCCUUUUGUUCAGGCCAUGACAUGUAUUGCUAAGAACACUGCACAUCCUCACGGUAUCACGUACACACUGUUCAUGGCAGAGUGUGUGCGUGUGUGUACACGUGUGUCCCGGAUUUAAUUUUUUUUCUGAAUGUGAUCGUGUUUUGGAUAAUACCUGAGCAGGGUUGCCUUUUUUUUUUAUUUAUUACCAUUAUAUAUUAUAUUAUAUAUUAUAUAUUUUCUUUCUUACAAUGUUAGAAGAAAGUCAUACCUUGGUAUUAAAAUUGCUUUAAAAAGGAAUACGUUGUCAAGGUGAUAAUGAAAGUCACUGGUCUGCCUUUGUCUUUGAUUACCAUGGAAUAAUGUGCCGGCUAUGAUCAGUGGUUGUGUGUGCAGGCUGGGGAGGCAACUGUGCUCCCAGCAAAGAUGUGUGACACAAACCAGGGGAACACCACAGAUUUAAAAUCGGCUUCAGCAAUGGAACUGCAAACUUGGGGCUUCGGUCAACAGGAUUUAUCUGCCUUGUGGAAUACACUCUGAAAGGGGCAGACAUGACCUGUGAGGUCUUUUAAAGGAAAUCUGCAAACGAUCUUUCCAAAGAUAAUGUGCCACAGAUCUUUUGCUUUUCUCUGUAACAAGGACUGAGUGCUGUCUUCGACAAAUGUAACUGACUUUUCAUCUUCAGCCUUUCCUUUCCACGAGAUCAAACUGUAGACAAAAGAGAUAUUUAAUAAAAAUUUAGAGAAAUCACUGGA
rnacentral:lncRNA from 1 species